CCGAACAGCAUAUGGAGGAGGAGAAGAAGAUAAAAUUCAAGUGAUUCCAUGGUCAUCCAAGCUUCAAAUCAAGGACCUUGGAACAUCCAAGGGGAUGUCUUGUUUAUGUCAACCGAAGGCUCAAAUACUUGGAAGGUUAGGGGAAGCAAACGGAAAGCAAGAGGGAAGAUAUGUUACAAGGUAUAAAGGGCAUGGAGGAAAAGUCAAGGAUGAGGAAUGCAGGAUUGAUGGAAGGAGUCAAGAACAUGUUAUGGUCUUAUAACAUGUUAUGUAACAUAGUUUAUCAAUUUAUGUUUGAUAUGCCAUGUAUGUGGAAUGAUGAUAUUAAAUGUCAUGAUAUCUAAAAUGGUAUGAGAUUAUGUAUGGAGAUAUUAUGUGGAUUUA